GAUUAUUUGAAGUCGUCCAUGUAUCUGGGGCAUAUUACAAGAAUAACGUAUCCCAGUUGAGUAGCAUUGUGUGUAAGGCAAUGCAAAGUUGUCAAAACGCAAGCAGUCAGAAAAUGCAACUCUUGUGUGCCUUUACUAAAACAAAACAAGCUAAACUUAAAGAUGCACUGCAACUGAUGAAGAUGGAGAUUUAAAGUGACAGUAACAAUUCAAGAAUGGAAAAGUCCUACGACAAAGGAGUCAAGGUCUAGACCUGCGACUGCAUUGAGGCCAUCCAGAUGGGAGCUGAAGCAGCGCACCGACAGGCCCGGAGGUAUCCUUCAGCGGAAGAGCGCCUCUCUUUACGUCACUUCCUUCUUCCUACUGGCUGGCCAGGGCGCAGGAACACAAGCGGCCAUCUUGAGCUCUCCUGCAUCAGCUGCUGCGGCUGGCUGGGCAAUAAGGCAGAUCAUGCUGGGAACCCGCUGUUACAGAGGCCUUUCAUUACCUUUGAGAGAUCAGUUCCUGAUGAGCUGUAGAAAAAUGAAACCAAAGUGGCUUAUAUGGAGGAGUGACUGGGUGAUGGAAACUGGAGGCAAGGAGAGAGUCUACGCUUUCAAGAUGCCUCACAGUGAGGCCACAGGGACACGGGGCAGCAGUUUGUGCGAGAGUCAAGGUUAGGAGAGGGUCAUGCCUUUUCUGGGUGGGAGCAGAACACUGGAGAAUCUGGAACGUGUAUAGUCUGAGACCAAGAGAGGAGUACUUGUGAAGAGGGAGAAACACUGAACAGAUCACGGGAACAGAAGAGAGCGGUUGGGAGGGAAUAGAAUGCAAAGCAAAUGGAGAAGAGGCUGGUCUCCUGUGAUGGAAGGGAAGAAGGGGCACAGAAAAAGACAAAUUGGCCGGUGCCGGGUAAGGAAACUAAAGGCCACCAAGUGGCUCCAGCUGUUUUCUGGGAAAUGAAGAAGCAAAUCAAGUCUUGACAAGGAGAGUAGUCAAGGUUUGGAAAAUCCUUGAGGGAUUAGAAAACCGAGCAACCAGCCGAUAAGAAUGAACACUGCGGAGCCUUCCUGAGGUCCCACCUGAGCCUGGCCGGGAGGACGGAGCAUCGGGCCAUGGGCAAAGGCGGCGCUCUGCAGCUUGGAAAUCAGAGUCGGCUCCAAUGGAUCAUGAGGCUGCUGUUCAAGUUAGGAAAGGAAUCGAAACAAGGAGGCUGGAGAACCUGAUUGGAUGGAGACCGGGAAGGGAGUUCAGGUGCAGUCCUGCUGACAGGGAGUGUGGGCCUGAGGAGGGUGUGGUGGUGGCGGAAGGUGGGAGCUGGGGGGACCCGGGACCGCCGAGGUGCAACCCAGCCCAAGGGGCUGAGUGCAGAAGGAGCUAAAGCAGAGAGUGGGGGAGGGACCAGCCCAGGGGCUCAAAGGCCCAUAAAGCUGAGAUACGAAAUGCAGUGUCCAGAUGGAAGUCUAAAUCACGCAUGGUUUUGGAAGGAACAGGUUUAAAGAAGAAAAUUGGUCCAGGGGCCCACUUGUUUCGGACGCCACGGCUGCAAACGAAACACAAUAGUAUGGAGACAUGUAGUUCCUGGAAAUCAGACAGCAAGCCAAGAGGCUAAAAGAUGCCUCUGAUCGGUAUCCUUGAGGAAUUUUUCUAAAUAUAAAACCUGGAAGAUAUGCACUAUUAGGUCCGUUUAAGCAGUGGUUUUUAGAAAAAGGUUUGAUCACUAUCCGGUAAUUGUGAAUAACAAACAUUGAGUGCUUACAGUUAUUACUAUUUUUCAGACAGUAAGGAUGGCAUUUUAGUCCUUAGGACCCAGCCAUGCAAGCCCUCCUCCCUGCUAUUGAUUUUUUACUUUUUUCUUGUUCCAGUAGAGGGCACUCAAAGCUCAAAUAAAUGCAUGCAAUCAUUUUACAGCAAUUGUUUUAUAUAAUUAAAGCUCUUACUUAAAUGAAAAA